CUCCCAGACUCCUACGGGAGGCAGCAGUGGGGGAUAUUGCACAAUGGGGGGAACCCUGAUGCAGCGACGCCGCGUGGGUGAAGGAGCGUUUCGGCGCGUAAAGCCCUAUCGGCAGGGAAGAAGGAGGACGGUACCUGACUAAGAAGCCCCGGCUAACUACGUGCCAGCAGCCGCGGUAAUACGUAGGGGGCAAGCGUUAUCCGGAUUUACUGGGUGUAAAGGGGGCGCAGACGGCGAUGCAAGCCAGGAGUGAAAGCCCGGGGCCCAACCCCGGGACUGCUCUUGGAACUGCGUGGCUAGAGUGCAGGAGGGGCAGGCGGAAUUCCUGGUGUAGCGGUGAAAUGCGUAGAUAUUAGGAGGAACACCAGUGGCGAAGGCGGCUUACUGGACGGCAACUGACGCUGAGGCUCGAAAGCGUGGGGAGCAAACAGGAUUAGAUACCCCCGUAC
rnacentral:rRNA from 1 species